UACGUAGGGUGCAAGCGUUAUCCGGAAUUAUUGGGCGUAAAGAGCUCGUAGGCGGUUUGUCGCGUCUGCUGUGAAAACUGGGGGCUCAACCCCCAGCCUGCAGUGGGUACGGGCAGACUAGAGUGCGGUAGGGGAGAUUGGAAUUCCUGGUGUAGCGGUGGAAUGCGCAGAUAUCAGGAGGAACACCGAUGGCGAAGGCAGAUCUCUGGGCCGUAACUGACGCUGAGGAGCGAAAGCAUGGGGAGCGAACAGGAUUAGAACCGUACCGUGUCAGACCAAGCCAUCU
rnacentral:rRNA from 1 species